AACGCGAAGAACCUUACCAGCCCUUGACAUCCCGGUCGCGAGUACCAGAGAUGGAACUCUUCAGUUCGGCUGGACCGGAGACAGGUGCUGCAUGGCUGUCGUCAGCUCGUGUCGUGAGAUGUUGGGUUAAGUCCCGCAACGAGCGCAACCCUCGCCCUUAGUUGCCAUCAUUCAGUUGGGCACUCUAAGGGGACUGCCGGUGAUAAGCCGCGAGGAAGGUGGGGAUGACGUCAAGUCCUCAUGGCCCUUACGGGCUGGGCUACACACGUGCUACAAUGGCGGUGACAAUGGGACGCAAUGGGGAAACCCUGCGCAAAUCUCAAAAAGCCGUCUCAGUUCGGAUUGUGCUCUGCAACUCGAGCACAUGAAGUUGGAAUCGCUAGUAAUCGCAGAUCAGCACGCUGCGGUGAAUACGUUCCCGGGCCUUGUA
rnacentral:rRNA from 1 species